CUUUCCGCUUCCCUUUUUCGCUCUUUCUGGUCAUUGUGCAAUCAAAUAAACAGAUUGUUGAGAGUGAUUUUACCUGGCAAUUAGGCAUGCAAAGCAAGUCGGCGGGCGGUGUAUGAGAAGGUCUCCAAACACCAGCUUAACUCACAGGCACAUCCGCUAUGUCUUCAGGCACUGUCACAUCACUUGAGAUCAGCUCCUCUGCCAUCCAUUGAAGUAACGGGGAUAGAAGAGGAUAUUUAAACCGAAGAAAUACCCAAACAUAUGCAAAGAACGUCGUAUGUUUGCCUUUUGAACCAUCAGUAUUUAUUAUACCAACCUGAGCAGGUUCAUUCAGGUUGGCCUGGUUGGAAUUUUUUUGUUCAACAGAGUGGCCUGAAAAGCAUUUAAGAUCUGAAAUAGCAGCUAUCUUCAAAGGGGCCUUUGGGUUACCGGAGCA